ACUUAAAUUGAAGAGUUUGAUCAUGGCUCAGAUUGAACGCUGGCGGCAGGCCUAACACAUGCAAGUCGAGCGGUAGCACAGAGAGCUUGCUCUCGGGUGACGAGCGGCGGACGGGUGAGUAAUGUCUGGGAAACUGCCUGAUGGAGGGGGAUAACUACUGGAAACGGUAGCUAAUACCGCAUAACGUCGCAAGACCAAAGUGGGGGACCUUCGGGCCUCAUGCCAUCAGAUGUGCC
rnacentral:rRNA from 1 species